rnacentral:rRNA from 1 species
GACGAACGCUGGCGGCGUGCUUAACACAUGCAAGUCGAACGGAAAGGCCCUGCUUUUGUGGGGUGCUCGAGUGGCGAACGGGUGAGUAACACGUGAGUAACCUGCCCUUGACUUUGGGAUAACUUCAGGAAACUGGGGCUAAUACCGGAUAGGAGCUCCUGCUGCAUGGUGGGGGUUGGAAAGUUUCGGCGGCUGGGGAUGGACUCGCGGCUUAUCAGCUUGUUGGUGGGGUAGUGGCUGACCAAGGCUUUGACGGGUAGCCGGCCUGAGAGGGUGACCGGCCACAUUGGGACUGAGAGACGGCCCAGACUCAUACGGGCGGCAGCAGUGGGGAAUAUUGAACAAUGGGCGGAAGCCUGAUGCAGCAACGCCGCGUGCGGGAUGACGGCCUUCGGGUUGUAAACCGCUUUCGCCUGUGACGAAGCGUGCGUGACGGUAAUGGGUAAAGAAGCACCGGCUAACUACGUG